ensembl:lncRNA
CUACAAUGAAACGGGAUGAUUUUCCUUUCCAAAGCUGCUCCACCUGGGUGGUCUUCCCUUACAGGCUGUGAGCGCCUUGCCAUGGUUUUGUUCCUAUCUGUCUCCGCAACUCAGUGCUUGGCACAUGUACCUUCCUUAGGGCUCUCCACUUGAUCCAUCCUCAGGAAGUGACUCAGUUCCUUCACCAGGCUCCUCCCAGGCCCAGGAGUGAAUGUCUUCUGGCCAUGGUCCAGAGUUUGACAAAAAGGAAAACUUAACAAGGGAACCAUAACACACGUCCUCCUCGCACGGCUCGGCUCGUAAGCACAUCCUGUUGGCAGAGGCACUGUAGCCACUGGCAUUGUCCUAAAGAAGGAAGGGCUGCAGCAGGCUGACUAGCCCUGCCGGAGCGGGCAGCCAACUGGACCAAUCCCAG